GGAGUUAUGAAAUGCAGGUUGGUUAAUACCCAACCUGUUUGACAAAGGCCCCAAAGGAAGCCACGGCUAACUCUGUGCCAGCAGCCGCGGUAAUACAGAGGUGGCAAGCGUUGUUCGGUAUUAUUGGGCGUAAAGAGCACGUAGGUGGUUUUGUAAGUCAGAUGUGAAAGCCUUCUGUUCAAAGGAAGAACGGCAUCUGAAACUGCAGAUCUUGAGUGUAGGAGGGGAGAGUGGAACUUCUG
rnacentral:rRNA from 1 species